UACGUAGGGUGCAAGCGUUGUCCGGAAUUAUUGGGCGUAAAGAGCUCGUAGGCGGUCUGUCGCGUCUGCUGUGAAAACUCAGGGCUUAACCCUGAGCUUGCAGUGGGUACGGGCAGACUAGAGUGCGGUAGGGGAGACUGGAAUUCCUGGUGUAGCGGUGAAAUGCGCAGAUAUCAAGAGGAACACCUGCGGCGAAGGCGGGUUGCUGGGCCGACACUGACGGCUGAGGCGCGGAAAGCCCAGGGGAGCGAACGGG
rnacentral:rRNA from 1 species